AGAGUUUGAUCCUGGCUCAGGACGAACGCUGGCGGCGUGCCUAAUACAUGCAAGUAGAACGCUGAAGAGAGGAGCUUGCUCUUCUUGGAUGAGUUGCGAACGGGUGAGUAACGCGUAGGUAACCUGCCUUGUAGCGGGGGAUAACUAUUGGAAACGAUAGCUAAUACCGCAUAACAAUGGAUGGCUCAUGUCAUUUAUUUGAAAGGGGCAAAUGCUCCACUACAAGAUGGACCUGCGUUGUAUUAGCUAGUAGGUGAGGUAACGGCUCACCUAGGCGACGAUACAUAGCCGACCUGAGAGGGUGAUCGGCCACACUGGGACUGAGACACGGCCCAGACUCCUACGGGAGGCAGCAGUAGGGAAUCUUCGGCAAUGGGGGCAACCCUGACCGAGCAACGCCGCGUGAGUGAAGAAGGUUUUCGGAUCGUAAAGCUCUGUUGUAAGUCAAGAACGAGUGUGAGAGUGGAAAGUUCACACUGUGACGGUAGCUUACCAGAAAGGGACGGCUAACUACGUGCCAGCAGCCGCGGUAAUACGUAGGUCCCGAGCGUUGUCCGGAUUUAUUGGGCGUAAAGCGAGCGCAGGCGGUUUGAUAAGUCUGAAGUUAAAGGCUGUGGCUCAACCAUAGUUCGCUUUGGAAACUGUCAAACUUGAGUGCAGAAGGGGAGAGUGGAAUUCCAUGUGUAGCGGUGAAAUGCGUAGAUAUAUGGAGGAACACCGGUGGCGAAAGCGGCUCUCUGGUCUGUAACUGACGCUGAGGCUCGAAAGCGUGGGGAGCGAACAGGAUUAGAUACCCUGGUAGUCCACGCCGUAAACGAUGAGUGCUAGGUGUUGGAUCCUUUCCGGGAUUCAGUGCCGCAGCUAACGCAUUAAGCACUCCGCCUGGGGAGUACGACCGCAAGGUUGAAACUCAAAGGAAUUGACGGGGGCCCGCACAA
rnacentral:rRNA from 1 species